AGACUGCAGGCUGCAACUCGCCUGCACGAAGUCGGAAUUGCUAGUAAUCGCGGAUCAGAAUGCCGCGGUGAAUACGUUCCCGGGCCUUGUACACACCGCCCGUCACACCAUGGGAGUCGGUAACACCCGAAGUCGGUGGUCUAACCGCAAGGAGGACGCCGCCGAAGGUGGGAUUGAUGACUGGGGUGAAGUCGUAACAAGGUACC
rnacentral:rRNA from 1 species